ACUAGUAUGAACGGCUAAAUGAGGACUAAACUGUCUCUUAUAGGCUGACCAAUGAAAUUGAUCUCCCAGUACAAAAGCUGGGAUAAAACCAUAAGACGAGAAGACCCUGUGGAGCUUCAAACCAAACACACCUAGUAUGUCCUUUAGGUUUUUAGUUGGGGCGACUUCGGAGAAAAAGAAAACCUCCAAAAAGUGAUUAUCCACAUUAUUUAGACCCACACAUCAAAACAACAACACAAACCCAGCAACUCACCCAACGUUGUCUGAUCAAUGAACCAAGUUACCCCAGGGAUAACAGCGCCAUCCCCUUCUAGAGUCCAUAUCGACAAGGGGGUUUACGACCUCGAUGUUGGAUCAGGACACCCCAAUGGUGCAGCCGCCAUUAAAG
rnacentral:rRNA from 1 species